GGCUUGUCCAGAGAUAACGCAUUAUCUCAAUUGAUUGUUCACAGUCACAGGUCGAACUUCUGUUCUACUCUUUUCCUCCUUCUCACUAUUGCACUUGACUAGUCUUAU
ensembl:misc_RNA Y_RNA Y RNA